rnacentral:rRNA from 1 species
CCUACGGGAGGCAGCAGUAGGGAAUCUUCCGCAAUGGACGCAAGUCUGACGGAGCAACGCCGCGUGAGUGACGAAGGUUUUCGGAUCGUAAAACUCUGUUGUGAGGGAAGAACACGUACCAGGUAACUACUGGUACCUUGACGGUACCUCACCAGAAAGCCACGGCUAACUACGUGCCGGCAGCCGCGGUAAUACGUAGGUGGCAAGCGUUGUCCGGAAUUAUUGGGCGUAAAGCGCGCGCAGGCGGUCCUUUAAGUCUGAUGUGAAAGCCCACGGCUCAACCGUGGAGGGUCAUUGGAAACUGGAGGACUUGAGUGCAGAAGAGGAAAGUGGAAUUCCAUGUGUAGCGGUGAAAUGCGUAGAGAUGUGGAGGAACACCAGUGGCGAAGGCGACUUUCUGGUCUGUAACUGACGCUGAGGCGCGAAAGCGUGGGGAGCAAACAGGAUUAGAUACCCUGGUAGUCCACGCCGUAAACGAUGAGUGCUAAGUGUUAGGGGGUUUCCGCCCCUUAGUGCUGCAGCUAACGCAUUAAGCACUCCGCCUGGGGAGUACGGCCGCAAGGCUGAAACUCAAAUGAAUUGACGG